rnacentral:rRNA from 2 species
AGAGUUUGAUCAUGGCUCAGAUUGAACGCUGGCGGCAGGCCUAACACAUGCAAGUCGAGCGGUAGCACAGAGAGCUUGCUCUCGGGUGACGAGCGGCGGACGGGUGAGUAAUGUCUGGGAAACUGCCUGAUGGAGGGGGAUAACUACUGGAAACGGUAGCUAAUACCGCAUAAUGUCGAAAGACCAAAGUGGGGGACCUUCGGGCCUCAUGCCAUCAGAUGUGCCCAGAUGGGAUUAGCUAGUAGGUGGGGUAACGGCUCACCUAGGCGACGAUCCCUAGCUGGUCUGAGAGGAUGACCAGCCACACUGGAACUGAGACACGGUCCAGACUCCUACGGGAGGCAGCAGUGGGGAAUAUUGCACAAUGGGCGCAAGCCUGAUGCAGCCAUGCCGCGUGUGUGAAGAAGGCCUUCGGGUUGUAAAGCACUUUCAGCGGGGAGGAAGGCGGUGAGGUUAAUAACCUCAUCGAUUGACGUUACCCGCAGAAGAAGCACCGGCUAACUCCGUGCCAGCAGCCGCGGUAAUACGGAGGGUGCAAGCGUUAAUCGGAAUUACUGGGCGUAAAGCGCACGCAGGCGGUCUGUCAAGUCGGAUGUGAAAUCCCCGGGCUCAACCUGGGAACUGCAUUCGAAACUGGCAGGCUAGAGUCUUGUAGAGGGGGGUAGAAUUCCAGGUGUAGCGGUGAAAUGCGUAGAGAUCUGGAGGAAUACCGGUGGCGAAGGCGGCCCCCUGGACAAAGACUGACGCUCAGGUGCGAAAGCGUGGGGAGCAAACAGGAUUAGAUACCCUGGUAGUCCACGCCGUAAACGAUGUCGAUUUGGAGGUUGUGCCCUUGAGGCGUGGCUUCCGGAGCUAACGCGUUAAAUCGACCGCCUGGGGAGUACGGCCGCAAGGUUAAAACUCAAAUGAAUUGACGGGGGCCCGCACAAGCGGUGGAGCAUGUGGUUUAAUUCGAUGCAACGCGAAGAACCUUACCUGGUCUUGACAUCCACAGAACUUUCCAGAGAUGGAUUGGUGCCUUCGGGAACUGUGAGACAGGUGCUGCAUGGCUGUCGUCAGCUCGUGUUGUGAAAUGUUGGGUUAAGUCCCGCAACGAGCGCAACCCUUAUCCUUUGUUGCCAGCGGUCCGGCCGGGAACUCAAAGGAGACUGCCAGUGAUAAACUGGAGGAAGGUGGGGAUGACGUCAAGUCAUCAUGGCCCUUACGACCAGGGCUACACACGUGCUACAAUGGCAUAUACAAAGAGAAGCGACCUCGCGAGAGCAAGCGGACCUCAUAAAGUAUGUCGUAGUCCGGAUUGGAGUCUGCAACUCGACUCCAUGAAGUCGGAAUCGCUAGUAAUCGUAGAUCAGAAUGCUACGGUGAAUACGUUCCCGGGCCUUGUACACACCGCCCGUCACACCAUGGGAGUGGGUUGCAAAAGAAGUAGGUAGCUUAACCUUCGGGAGGGCGCUUACCACUUUGUGAUUCAUGACUGGGGUGAAGUCGUAACAAGGUAACCGUAGGGGAACCUGCGGUUGGAUCACCU